ACACACAGAAAAAGGGACAUUAGACUAUUUCCAUUGUUAGUGUAUCUAAUCAACAGUCCUGGAUCUUGACCGAUCAGAUUAACCGGCCAUAUCUUCUGGGAGAAGUAAGAUAAUGCAUGGAUACAGAAGCAAAAAGAAAGAAGCUUUUGAGGUCACUAACUUUUAGAGACGGUUUGUUACACAGGAAGAACGCAUUGAUGCAGUGCUGGAAAUUCAACAGCAGUUUCAGAGAUGAGAAGACAUCUGCUGUCAGAAGUCAGAAGUCAGAAGACUUGAGUCCAGGCCCAAUUGGGAAACUGACCAAAUAUCUAGGUCCUGUGUGGAAACUGAUACCCUAACCCAAAAGAAUGCACGUACGGGCUGGUGGAGGGAAUCACAUCUCUUGGAAGACUGGUAUAUGGACUUUUUCUUUUGUUCCAACUUAGAUUAAUUGUGUGACCUCAGGCAAGGCAUGUUCCUGUUCUUGGACCAACUGUCUCCAUCAUAUAACAUACCUUUUUUACAGUCCUUUCCUCCCCUGGUGGUCAGUGGUUCUUAUUCUUUCCAGAUUCAAAUCUAAUUACAGUUAUAGAGGGGAUCUUGCAGAGCACCACACAUAGACAGCUGAAUGCUAGUCUCUUUCUGUCAGAAUUCUGUCUACACUGAAGGAGUGCAAUCCUAUAAGGUCAAUCCUAGGAGGUCAACUUGCUCCUGAGUUAAGAAUGUUCUGACUUAAGAGUGACUCCAGCACCAGUUACAAGGAAAGAACACCAA